CUACGGGGCGCUGCAGUGGGGAAUAUUGCACAAUGGGCGCAAGCCUGAUGCAGCCAUGCCGCGUGUAUGAAGAAGGCCUUCGGGUUGUAAAGUACUUUCAGCGGGGAGGAAGGGAGUAAAGUUAAUACCUUUGCUCAUUGACGUUACCCGCAGAAGAAGCACCGGCUAACUCCGUGGCCAGCAGCCGCGGUAAUACGGAGGGUGCAAGCGUUGAUCGGAAUUACUGGGCGUAAAGCGCACGCAGGCGGUUUGUUAAGUCAGAUGUGAAAUCCCCGGGCUCAACCUGGGAACUGCAUCUGAUACUGGCAAGCUUGAGUCUCGUAGAGGGGGGUAGAAUUCCAGGUGUAGCGGUGAAAUGCGUAGAGAUCUGGAGGAAUACCGGUGGCGAAGGCGGCCCCCUGGACGAAGACUGACGCUCAGGUGCGAAAGCGUGGGGAGCAAACAGGAUUAGAUACCCCGGUAGUC
rnacentral:rRNA from 1 species